GACUGCUGCAUGCAGAGGAAGAUCAGUUGUGGGUUGAAGGUAAUGCAUCAUUCUGGACACAGCACACAAAUAGCAACGAAUGGAUUUCAGCUUUCUCUGUAGAAUGAGUUUAACAUACUAUACUUUGUCAGGUUUUGAUUUGACAUUAAUAUUCUGCUAGUUCAGUACCUCAAGAAUAAAAGAUAUGCUGCUAAAUUUUCUUGUUUUUUGUUUUUUUUUUUUACACUUACUAAAGAACAGUUCUAGAGUCUGUGAGAGUUCACGAAAAGCAACUUGUAUGUCUAACUUCUCUCUGAGAACCUCUAGAUUUCUCUUCUGUCCUUCUAGAAAUGUCUGACAAAGGGUUUCAGAACGAUUGCCUUGAGGUGUGUAUUUUUUCAGUUGCAUUGAGUUUUCUUUGUUGUUGUCUUGUCCACCUUCAGUUCCCUUCCAGAGGCUUUGAGGCAAUGUUCUUUGGUUAGAGAACGAAGAACCUUAAGGGGUGGGGCAUGGAAUUUAAUUAUAAUCCUGGGCUGUGAUUCUACAUCCUUUUCCUUUGUGCCAAGUCAGCUUCAGAUCCUCCAUUUCCUGGCUUCACUCCUGUUCCCUCGCAGGGCUUUGUCCCCUCUGUUAUACCUACUUGACUGUUAGUGCAGCUGCCCUCUGAACAACAUCUGUGAACUGAUGCAGCACAAGAGCCUCCCAGAUGGAAGUGCACUUUGGCAGGCGAUGUAAACCUUUGUUCUGGUUUAGAUUGUAACCCUGUGGUCAUACGUGUUUGAGCUGAGAGAACUCUGGGUAUAUGUCUGUUGGGAGAGUUGUAAGGCUUUAUAACUGAGUUUUCUGCCAAGGACACAGUGACAUAGAGCUCCAACUUCUAGUCUUUUUGUGGGAUGAGGUAUGUAGCUGGAUUUUUUUUUUUUUUUUAUUAAGAUGUUCACACUGGCAGUACUCUGUGUAGUUACUAUUCUCUGUGUAUCACCAGAAAAUAAACUCCAGUUAUAUAAAUUGAUAAAGUGUCAAUUUGCCAAAGCCAAAACUUCAUGAUGUAUGUUUAUGAUGAUUUCCAGAUGCUUCAAUCCAGGCUGCCAAAGGUUUCCUCGAGUACUUGCCAAUCUGAUGCGACUAAUUCUAUGGAAGCUUGUCAGAAGUCGUCAUUGUUUCAGUUUGCAGAG